AGUGAACGCUGGCGGUAGGCCUAACACAUGCAAGUCGAACGGCAGCACAGUAAGAGCUUGCUCUUACGGGUGGCGAGUGGCGGACGGGUGAGGAAUACAUCGGAAUCUACUUUUUCGUGAGGGAUAACGUAGGGAAACUUACGCUAAUACCGCAUACGACCUACGGGUGAAAGCAGGGGAUCUUCGGACCUUGCGCGAUUGAAUGAGCCGAUGUCGGAUUAGCUAGUUGGUGGGGUAAAGGCCCACCAAGGCGACGAUCCGUAGCUGGUCUGAGAGGAUGAUCAGCCACACUGGAACUGAGACACGGUCCAGACUCCUACGGGAGGCAGCAGUGGGGAAUAUUGGACAAUGGGCGCAAGCCUGAUCCAGCCAUACCGCGUGGGUGAAGAAGGCCUUCGGGUUGUAAAGCCCUUUUGUUGGGAAAGAAAAGCAGCAGGUUAAUACCCCGCUGUUCUGACGGUACCCAAAGAAUAAGCACCGGCUAACUUCGUG
rnacentral:rRNA from 1 species